rnacentral:rRNA from 1 species
GACGAACGCUGGUGGCGUGCUUAACACAUGCAAGUCGAACGCUGAAGCCCGGGCUUGCCCGGGUGGAUGAGUGGCGAACGGGUGAGUAACACGUGAGUAACCUGCCCCGAACUCUGGGAUAAGCGCUGGAAACGGUGUCUAAUACUGGAUACGCGCACUGGUCGCAUGGCCUGGUGCGGGAAAGAUUUAUCGGUUCGGGAUGGACUCGCGGCCUGUCAGCUUGAUGGUGAGGUAAUGGCUCACCAUGGCGACGACGGGUAGCCGGCCUGAGAGGGCGACCGGCCACACUGGGACUGAGACACGGCCCAGACUCCUACGGGAGGCAGCAGUGGGGAAUAUUGCACAAUGGGCGCAAGCCUGAUGCAGCAACGCCGCGUGAGGGAUGACGGCCUUCGGGUUGUAAACCUCUUUUAGUAGGGAAGAAGCGAAAGUGACGGUACCUGCAGAAAAAGCACCGGCUAACUACGUGCCAGCCGCCGCGGUAAUAC